rnacentral:rRNA from 1 species
ACUCCUACGGGAGGCAGCAGUGGGGAAUAUUGGACAAUGGGGGCAACCCUGAUCCAGCCAUGCCGCGUGUGUGAAGAAGGCUUUCGGGUUGUAAAGCACUUUCAGUGAGGAGGAAGGCCUUAAGGUUAAUACCCUUGAGGAUUGACGUUACUCACAGAAGAAGCACCGGCUAACUCCGUGCCAGCAGCCGCGGUAAU